UACGGAGGGGGCAAGCGUUGUUCGGAAUUACUGGGCGUAAAGGGCUCGUAGGCGGCCAACUAAGUCGGAUGUGAAAUCCCCAAGCUUAACUUGGGAACUGCAUCCGAUACUGGAUGGCUUGAAUCCGGGAGAGGGAUGCAGAAUUCCAGGUGUAGCGGUGAAAUGCGUAGAUAUCUGGAGGAAUACCGGUGGCGAAGGCGGCAUCCUGGACCGGCAUUGACGCUGAGGAGCGAAAGCUAGGGGAGCAAACGGG
rnacentral:rRNA from 1 species